AAAGGAGCGAUCCGGUGACGGAUGGGCAUGCGUGACAUUAGCUAGUCGGCGGGGUAACGGCCCACCGAGGCGACGAUGUCUAGGGGUUCUGAGAGGAAGGUCCCCCACACUGGUACUGAGACACGGACCAGACUCCUACGGGAGGCAGCAGUGAGGAAUAUUGGUCAAUGGGCUUACGCCUGAACCAGCCAAGUCGCGUGAGGGAAGACUGCCCUAUGGGUUGUAAACCUCUUUUGUCAGGGAGCAACGCCGGCUACGUGUAGCCGGACUGAGAGUACCUGAAGAAAAAGCAUCGGCUAACUCCGUGCCAGCAGCCGCGGUAAUACGGAGGAUGCGAGCGUUAUCCGGAUUUAUUGGGUUUAAAGGGUGCGUAGGCGGAAUGCCAAGUCAGCGGUAAAAUCGCGGGGCUCAACCUCGCUCCGCCGUUGAAACUGGCGUUCUUGAGUGGGCGAGAAGUAUGCGGAAUGCGUGGUGUAGCGGUGAAAUGCAUAGAUAUCACGCAGAACUCCGAUUGCGAAGGCAGCAUACCGGCGCCCAACUGACGCUGAAGCACGAAAGCGUGGGUAUCGAACAGGAUUAGAUACCCUGGUAGUCCACGCAGUAAACGAUGAAUACUAGCUGUUCGGGGCAAUUGGGCCUUGAGUGGC
rnacentral:rRNA from 1 species